AACGAACGCUGGCGGCAGGCUUAAUACAUGCAAGUCGAGCGGGCACUUCGGUGUCAGCGGCGCACGGGUGCGUAACGCGUGGGAACAUGCCCUUAGGUACGGAACAACACAGGGAAACUUGUGCUAAUACCGUAUAAUAUCUCCGGAUCAAAGAUUUAUCGCCUAAGGAUUGGCCCGCGUUAGAUUAGGUAGUUGGUGGGGUAAUGGCCUACCAAGCCGACGAUCUAUAGCUGGUCUGAGAGGAUGAUCAGCCACACUGGAACUGAGACACGGUCCAGACUCCUACGGGAGGCAGCAGUAAGGAAUAUUGGACAAUGGGCGAAAGCCUGAUCCAGCCAUGCCGCGUGAGUGAUGAAGGCCUUAGGGUUGUAAAGCUCUUUUAGAUGGGAAGAUAAUGACUGUACCAUCAGAAUAAGCCCCGGCUAAAUUCGUGCCAGCCGCCGCCGUAA
rnacentral:rRNA from 1 species